GUCCAGACUCCUACGGGAGGCAGCAGUGAGGAAUAUUGGUCAAUGGGCUUACGCCUGAACCAGCCAAGUCGCGUGAGGGAAGACUGCCCUAUGGGUUGUAAACCUCUUUAGGCGGGGAGCAAUGCCGGGCACGCGUGCCCGGAGGGAGAGUACCCGCAGAAUAAGCAUCGGCUAACUCCGUGCCAGCAGCCGCGGUAAUACGGAGGAUGCGAGCGUUAUCCGGAUUUAUUGGGUUUAAAGGGUGUGUAGGCGGAUUUUUAAGUCAGCGGUAAAAUGUCCGGGCUCAACCCGGGCCGGCCGUUGAAACUGGGGACCUUGAGUGGGCGAGAAGUAUGCGGAAUGCGUGGUGUAGCGGUGAAAUGCAUAGAUAUCACGCAGAACUCCGAUUGCGAAGGCAGCGCACCGGCGCCCUACUGACGCUCAGGCACGAAAGCGUGGGUAUCGAACAGGAUUAGAUACCCGAGUAGU
rnacentral:rRNA from 1 species